rnacentral:rRNA from 1 species
CCCGCGACAAGCGGAGGAGCAUUGUGGUUUAAUUCGAUGAUACGCGAGGAACCUUACCUGGGCUCGAACGUAAGAUGACUGUAGGUGAAAGCUUACAUCUCUUCGGAGCAUUUUACGAGGUGCUGCAUGGUUGUCGUCAGCUCGUGCCGUGAGGUGUCGGGUUAAGUCCCAUAACGAGCGCAACCCCUACCUUUAGUUGCCAUCAGGUUAAGCUGGGGACUCUAAAGGAACUGCCUACGCAAGUAGUGAGGAAGGCGGGGAUGACGUCAAAUCAGCACGGCCCUUACGUCCAGGGCUACACACGUGCUACAAUGGCCGAUACAGAGGGCAGCUACCUGGUGACAGGAUGCAAAUCUCCAAAGUCGGUCUCAGUUCGGAUCGGAGUCUGCAACCCGACUCCGUGAAGUUGGAUUCGCUAGUAAUCGCGCAUCAGCCAUGGCGCGGUGAAUACGUUCCCGGGCCUU